CUGCGGUAGUUCACGUGAAGGAUGUUUGCUUGAAUCUAGACAGGAACAAUGAGCAUGAAGAAAAGGGCCAGAUCUAAAGUAGGACACAAAGUCCUCUGCUGUGACCUAAGAGCUGAAGCUGAUAUGGCUAGAGAAUUUUUUCCCUUGCCCCUUAGAAAGUUAUCUUUUAGUAGAAUGUCACAGAAAAUUUUAAAAAGUUAACGAAUAAAAAGUACAAAACAAAAUAGCAAAACAAACAAACAAACAAAAAACCCAAAAAACAAAACCCAAACCCAAACCCUACCUCAGAAAGUGAAUAGUGUUUUUAACACAGAAAAAGUAAGUUAAGGGACAUGGAUCGGAAGGUAGGGGAUAGGAGUUAUACAAUGAAAUAUCCUUAACAGAUGAAGCCUUCUGGAGAACAUACGAUUUUAGCAAGGCCUUGACAGCAGGGAGCGAAUGAACCACAUGCGUAGCGGGGACGGGACGAAUACCCCAGUAGAGGGACAGGAGGCAACACAGAACCUAAGCAGGCACUUACCCUGAGUCUGGAGAAGCAACCCGCACGACAGCAGUGUGGAGUAGAUUGCCUGCGGGGCCCCAAGGCUGUGUUCUCAGUGCUGGGUGCCCACCGCCCCUGACCGCCUCUUACGCGUGGCGGACAAUAGCCGGCAAGUGCCAGUUAGAAACGCACCCACCUUUGACCUCCAUCCGGGUACCGGGGCCCUGAAAUCCCGCCCCAGGGCCUGAGCCGCUUCCGCUGGCUGGCUUCGGGGCAACGUUCCCUUCAAUCCUAGAAUCUGUGAGGGCCUCUUUCUAAGUUCUUAAGAGCAGAAUACUGCUGACUCUUAUUGAUGGAUUGCAGAGAUCAAUAUUUUUUUUUAUUGAAAUUAGUAGAGUAUUGCAGAGUGGUAAGAGCUGUGAGAACAACCUGGAAGAUUCUGGAAAAACCUGAUCCCCAACUGCACAACCACUAUAAUCUCAGCCAUUCUCUCAUAGCAGUAUAAUUUGCAGACUUUGCUAUUCUACAAACUUAAGAGUUGAUUUAAACUCAUACAGACUGAAACUGAAAUGAGCUAUGAACAGGGAGCUACAGCUAUGCUCUUCAGCAUUCCAAGAAGUUCUUGCUGGGGCUGACCUGGGUGUUGAGGACAUCAGAGUAGAUACCACGUGACUGUCUGUCAAAUGAACCUGUAUGUUGUCUUCUCCAGGACUUCGAGGUAAUCCGGCUUGGUUUGAAGUUUGGCCCUUAACUCGAGGUAAUCACUUUUUUGGGUUUGGUGGUCUGUGAAGCCCUUUCCAGCUGAGAAGAGAAGGGUUUCUUUGAGCCUGGCAUCCUGCUGUAAGUCUGGAUAUUGCAUGCCAGGAGGGUGGACGUGCAGUUCCUUUAAUUUGGGCACUGUGCCAUAGAGACAAUCCACGAAUCCCACUGUGCAGGGGGCUGGCUGUGGCCUCUCUCGGUCUAGGAGCAUACUUCCACCGCCACAGCCUCCCCCAGGAGGAAACAGCACCACCCCACCAUUCUUCUCAUGGUGGCGGAACCCAGCCAAGUCUCCCCCAGUUCCCGCAACUACCCCAGAAACCCCACCAACUGCUGGGUGGUGAGGGUGAGGGUGAUGAUGAUUCACCGUCACUAUGGUGUUGAGCUGGGAGCUGGACACUGCCAGGGCCCACUCCUUUUCUUUUUCCAGCAAGGUCCGGUAGUUGCUGUGGUUCUCCUUGGGUGUCUCUGCAAACUGCUCACUUCCUAGGAGAACCUCACCUACUCCUGGUGGCUGUGUCCCAGGACCCCCUCGUUCUGCACUCCCUGACUCCUGGACUGAUGAAACAGCCACCUCCUCCUCCUCACGAGGCUUAUAGAUGGGGUUGUUGCACAUUUGGGUCACUGGGUGGGGGAUGUACUCAUAUACGUGGCCCACAGGAGGGGCCUUCUCUGGGGACGAAAUAGUCGCUCGGCCCCCACAUCCACUUCCACCUCCACCACCCCCACCAUCCUCAAACAGCCGGUGGCAUUGCAUCUGGAUGCCGGUAAGGUCCACCCCUUCUUGUCGCUUGCUCCUAAAGGGCAGCUUCUUCCGGCGCCGUCGGAGCACGUAGGCAAAGAGGCCUGCAGCAACAAAGACUGCUGAAAAGAAAAGAACCAGCAGGCUGAGAAUCAACACAGAAAGUGGCACAGGGCCCCCGGGGGGAGAGAACUCAUAAGGUGAUGCACUCGUUGGCCCCCCAGCAAGGUGAGACUCUCCAGGCUGGGCUGGGGAUGCUCCAGCUGGUGGGAUGUGCAGCAUCUCUGGGCAGAGAACUUCCAGCUCAAUGGUGCGCACAUCGCGGUGGGUGAGGUUCUCAGGGCUCCUGCAAAGCACAUCACCCACCACGCUGACUGAGCUGAUGGUUUCAAUCCACUGUUUGAAGGGGACCAGGUCACAGGUACAGUCCCAAGGAUUCUCAUUGAGGUCUAUCUGGACAAUGGCAUUCAAGUGUUCUAGGACGCCAGCCACAGGAAGAUAGAGGAAGUAGUUCUUUCUCAGGUUGAGCCGGGCCAGGGAUGUGCCUGCAAAGGCAUCUGUCGGGAGGGUCCUCAGCAAGUUAUUGUUGAGGAAUAGCAGCUUCAAGUUGGGCAUGAGGCUGAAGGCUGCAGGCUGGAUUUCUCGGAUGACAUUGAACUCAAAGUACAAGUAGUGCAAACUCUGUAGUCCUCGGAACAUGCCUGGUGUCAGCUUCUCAAUAUCGUUGCCAUUGAGAAAGAGGCUCUUUAGGUUGGGCAGGUUGAUGAAGGCCCCAUCCUGGACAUAAGAAAUACGAUUGUUCCCCAGAUGCAAGAGAUCCAAGGAGGAGAAAUUCCAAAAAUCAGAACGGUAUAUUUUCUGAAUCAGAUUGCUACUCAGGUAAAGUUUCUUGGCAUUCAAUGGCCUUGGAAGAAGUUCAGAAAUGUUAUUAAAUCCUCGCUCUUUGCAGUUGACAGUCAAGCCAAGGUCGUUGAUGUGCAAAUUACAGGUACACCCAGUAGGACAUAUAAUGGGAAUGGGUGGUCUGGUCUGGUAAGGAGCAAUGGGAGGUUGGUUUGGACCAGGGUAUAAAGCUUGGGAUGUAGAGGGUGGCCUUGGUGUUCGGGGCUGUUUGGUGGGCUUGGGCUGUUUAUUUGAGGACUUGUAUUCAACAGAAGAAGCAGUGAAAUGGACAGAGGACAACAUUGAGGAAGGCUUAGUUGGCCAUGCAUUCUCCUUGCUUGAUGACAAGUGGGGAAUCCCCAAACUAGCCUCCACCUCAGAGUCAGACAACAAGGGGCAGAGUUCUGUCUUCCUGAUUUCUCGCAGAUCCUUUCCAUGGAAAUGGAAGGGGGUCUCACAGGUGAUGUCUCCCACCAGGGCGGUGUAAGGAAUGCGUUCCAGCCAACUCUUUAGCUGCACAAUCUCACAUGUACAGUUCCAGGGAUUUUCUUCCAGCUGGAGCUCCAUCAGGCUUCUGCCAAUGUGGUCUAGCAUUCCUCGGUAAAAAAGAACCUUUAACCUAUUUCCACGUAGGUCCAGAUGGGUUAAGGAGACAGCCUUAAAUAAAUUGUUUGGAAGCAUGGGGAUGAGAUUAUCAUUUAAAAUCAGAACUCUCAAUUUACUUAGGUUCCGAAAUGCCCCACUCUCAAUACGUUUAAUGACAUUGUAAUCUGCCUGCAGAUAUUCCAGACUUUCCAAGCCAAGGAAGGUGUCAUUUCUGAAGAUGUCUAGUUUGUUCUCAUGUAGAUAUAACCUCUUUAAGAUCUUAAGACCAUUGAAAGCUCCUGAUUGAAUGUCCUGCAAUGCAUUGUUCCCAAGGUUAAUGGACACAGCGUUAUUCAAAUGAAGAAAACUGUUGGUGUACAAUUUCCUCAUUGAAUUCCUUUGCAGAUACAGUUUAAAAGGUCUUGACCAGAACUCAGUAAUCUGACUAAUAUUUGUAAAUCCUUUACUGUCACAAUGUAUAUGAAAGAGGCUUUCUUUAACUUCACAGUAGCAUGGAUCAAAACAGGGCUCAUCUAUUUCCUCUGAGUCCUCUAUCAGGGGAAUCGGGGUAGUCCAUCCUAGAGCAAUUGUGCUUAGAAGAAUUAUCCACAACAUCCUCCCUCUGUGAAGCAUCUCAGCUAUGGAAGAUUUCAUCGUUCGUAGUUGAUUACAAAACUGCAACAGAAAUAAAGAUGCAGAUUUUAGCCUUUA